rnacentral:rRNA from 1 species
AAUGAACGUUGGCGGCGUGGAUUAGGCAUGCAAGUCGAGCGAGAACCGUAGCAAUACGGGGGCAGCGGCGAAAGGGACAGUAAUGUGUAGGUACCUACCCCCGGGUUCGGGAUAGCUGCGGGAAACUGCAGGUAAUACCGAAUAAUGUCUUCGGACCAAAGGUGUGAUUCCACCUGGGGAGGGGCCUGCAUCCUAUUAGCUUGUUGGUGGGGUAACGGCUUACCAAGGCGACGAUGGGUAGCGGGUGUGAGAGCAUGACCCGCGUCAUUGGGACUGAGACACUGCCCAGACACCUACGGGUGGCUGCAGUCGAGGAUCUUCGGCAAUGGGCGCAAGCCUGACCGAGCGACGCCGCGUGCGGGAUGAAGGCCUUCGGGUUGUAAACCGCUGUCGUAGAGGAGGAAAUGCAGGAGGGUUCUCCCUUCUGUUUGACCUAUUCUAGGAGGAAGUACGGGCUAAGUUCGUGCCAGCAGCCGCAGUAA